rnacentral:rRNA from 1 species
UACAGAGGGGGCAAGCGUUGUUCGGAAUUACUGGGCGUAAAGGGUGCGUAGGCGGCCGUGCAAGUCUGGCGUGAAAGCCCCGGGCUCAGCCCGGGAAGUGCGCUCGAAACUGCGCGGCUCGAGUGCCGGAGGGGAGAGUGGAAUUCCUGGUGUAGCGGUGAAAUGCGUAGAUAUCAGGAGGAAUACCGGUGGCGAAAGCGACUCUCUGGACGGCAACUGACGCUGAGGCACGAAAGCGUGGGGAGCAAACAGG